CGGGCAUGGGCCAGCGGAAUGCCUCCUCCUCCGCACCCUAAAGGUCUUGGGAAUAUCUCUAAUUGCCCACCGCUCUUUCAGGCAUAAUUCUCUGCACCUACUGAGUCACCUGAGCACACGCUAGGAUUCACUCCGCGACAUUAUUAUCCUAAUAGUUCUAGUAUGCCCUAGGAAGCUCCCCAAUCAAGACCCGCUGUUUAGCCAGCACCACCGAUCACACCGGUAUUCGUGGCUCUGCCACCACCUGAAGCUCCC
rnacentral:lncRNA from 1 species